ACGAACGCUGGCGGCGUGCUUAACACAUGCAAGUCGAACGGAAAGGCCCCUUUGGGGGUACUCGAGUGGCGAACGGGUGAGUAACACGUGAGUAACCUGCCCUUGACUUCGGGAUAACUUCAGGAAACUGGGGCUAAUACCGGAUAGGAAUCCUUGCUGCAUGGUGGGGGUUGGAAAGCUUCGGCGGUUUUGGAUGGACUCGCGGCUUAUCAGCUUGUUGGUGGGGUAGUGGCUUACCAAGGCCUUGACGGGUAGCCGGCCUGAGAGGGCGACCGGCCACAUUGGGACUGAGAUACGGCCCAGACUCCUACGGGAGGCAGCAGUGGGGAAUAUUGCACAAUGGGCGGAAGCCUGAUGCAGCAACGCCGCGUGCGGGAUGACGGCCUUCUGGUUGUAAACCGCUUUCAGCAGGGGCGAAGCUUGUGGUGACGGUACCUGCAGAAGAAGCACCGGCUAACUACGUG
rnacentral:rRNA from 1 species